rnacentral:rRNA from 1 species
AUUGAACGCUGGCGGCAGGCCUAACACAUGCAAGUCGAGGGGUAUAGUUCUUCGGAACUAGAGACCGGCGCACGGGUGCGUAACGCGUAUGCAAUCUACCUUUUGCAGAGGGAUAGCCCAGAGAAAUUUGGAUUAAUACCUCAUAGUAUGUGAGAAUGGCAUCAUUUUCACAUUAAAGUCACAACGGCAAAAGAUGAGCAUGCGUCCCAUUAGCUAGUUGGUAAGGUAACGGCUUACCAAGGCAACGAUGGGUAGGGGUCCUGAGAGGGAGAUCCCCACACUGGUACUGAGACACGGACCAGACUCCUACGGGAGGCAGCAGUGAGGAAUAUUGGACAAUGGGCGCAAGCCUGAUCCAGCCAUGCCGCGUGCAGGAUGACGGUCCUAUGGAUUGUAAACUGCUUUUGUACAGGAAGAAACACUCCCUCGUGAGGGAGCUUGACGGUACUGUAAGAAUAAGGAUCGGCUAACUCCGUGCCAGCCGCCGCAGUAAUAC